rnacentral:tRNA from 1 species
GCCCGAGUGGCGGAAUUGGUAGACGCGCACGACUCAAAAUCGUGUAUAGCAAUAUGUGAGAGUUCGAGUCUCUCCUCGGGCA